rnacentral:rRNA from 1 species
AGCAGCCGCGGUAAUUCCAGCUCCAAUAGCGUAUAUUAAAGUUGUUGCAGUUAAAAAGCUCGUAGUUGAAUUUCGGGGUCAGCAGGCUGGUCGUGCUAAUGGUAUGUACUGGCUUUACUGAUUCCUCCUUCUUGAAGAACUGCAAUGCCAUUAAUUUGGUGUUGCAGGGAAUCAGGACUAGUUACUUUGAAAAAUUAGAGUGUUUAAAGCAGGCUUACGCUUGAAUACAUUAGCAUGGAAUAUAAAAUAGGACGUUGAUCUUAUUUUGUUGGUUUCUAGGAUUGACGUAAUGAUUAAUAGGGAUAGUUGGGGGCAUUAGUAUUCAAUUGUCAGAGGUGAAAUUCUUGGAUUUAUUGAAGGCUAACUACUGCGAAAGCAUUUGCCAGGAUGUUUCAUUAAU